UACGUAGGUGGCAAGCGUUAUCCGGAAUUAUUGGGCGUAAAGCGCGCGCAGGCGGUCUCUUAAGUCUGAUGUGAAAGCCCACGGCUCAACCGUGGAGGGUCAUUGGAAACUGGGAGACUUGAGUGCAGGAGAGAAAAGUGGAAUUCCCGGUGUAGAGGUGAAAUUCGUAGAUAUCGGGAGGAACACCAGUGGCGAAGGCGGCGAUCUGGGAAGAUACUGACGCUGAGGUGCGAAAGCGUGGGGAGCAAACAGG
rnacentral:rRNA from 1 species